CCCUUAGAUGUCCUGGGCCGCACGCGCGUUACACUGAUGCAUUCAACGAGCUUAUAACCUUGGCCGAGAGGCCUGGGCAAUCUUGUUAACGUGCAUCGUGAUAGGGAUAGAUUAUUGAAAUUAUUAAUCUUGAACGAGGAAUUCCUAGUAAACGCAGAUCAUCAAUCUGCAUUGAUUACGUCCCUGCCCUUUGUACACACCGCCCGUCGCACCUACCGAUUGAGUGGUCCGGUGAGGCUUUGGGAUCUGAGCGGAAAGAGCGUUUCGCUGUUUCUGCUCGGAAAACUCAGUCGAACCUUAUCAUUUAGAGGAAGGAGAAGUCGUAACA
rnacentral:rRNA from 1 species